GGUGAUAGUUCAGCGGUAGAGUGCUUGCCUAGUACAUAUGAGGCCCUGGGUUAGAUCCUCAGACCA
rnacentral:tRNA from 1 species